rnacentral:rRNA from 1 species
UACGUAGGGUCCGAGCGUUGUCCGGAAUUACUGGGCGUAAAGAGCUCGUAGGUGGUUUGUCGCGUUGUUCGUGAAAACUCACAGCUCAACUGUGGGCGUGCGGGCGAUACGGGCAGACUGGAGUACUGCAGGGGAGACUGGAAUUCCUAGUGUAGCGGUGGAAUGCGCAGAUAUCAGGAGGAACACCGGUGGCGAAGGCGGGUCUCUGGGCAGUAACUGACGCUGAGGAGCGAAAGCGUGGGGAGCGAACAGG